rnacentral:lncRNA from 1 species
AUGUCUAUCAGCCCUUCCACACCUGACCCUGCCCCAGGAGCUCUGAAGUCAAUGACUCCAAACAAGACAAAUCCUUCACGGAAGUACAAGAAAGUCAGUGCAAGAAUGAGGGCACAGAGCAGGCACCAACAUAUCUCUGAGAUCUGUCUGCAAGCAUCCAAGGAAAAAUCAAUUCCAGACAUACUGUAUCAAUUUCAGCACUAGGCUGUGGACACCAUGAUGCCUUCUUACCUGGUUCUUAGAUGUUGUCUCUCAUCUGUGAAGUUGCUCUCUGUAAACCACUUUGGCUAUCUGCAGCACUUGUUAUGGCUCCUCCUGACUUUGUUU